UGCAAUCGUCUCGUCAUUAACUCGGACAAUUUGAAGAUUAUUGGUACCAUGAAGAAUGAAGGACAAUCUGCGGGGGCGACGGCAACGGAUUUUGACGACUGUUAUCAUUUUGGCUGUGAUUUCCCUAUUUCUUCAUUUGAGCAUUGUAAUAGAGAAGCGAAUAUGGUCGCUCAUGAGCUCGCUAGACUGGCUAGAUUUCAUUUGCCUCUUGAUUAGUUUGAGGAGCCUUUAGAUGUAAUUGUAACCUUUCUCACAAACGAUGUACUUGUUAUUUCAAAAGAAUAA
rnacentral:rRNA from 1 species